CCUACGGGAGGCAGCAGUGGGGAAUAUUGGGCAAUGGGCGCAAGCCUGACCCAGCAACGCCGCGUGAAGGAAGACGGCUUUCGGGUUGUAAACUUCUUUUCUCAGGGACGAAGCAAGUGACGGUACCUGAGGAAUAAGCCACGGCUAACUACGUGCCAGCAGCCGCGGUAAUCCGUAGGUGGCAAGCGUUAUCCGGAUUUACUGGGUGUAAAGGGCGUGUAGGCGGGAAAGCAAGUCAGAUGUGAAAACCAUGGGCUCAACCUGUGGCCUGCAUUUGAAACUGUUUUUCUUGAGUACUGGAGAGGCAGACGGAAUUCGUAGUGUAGCGGUGAAAUGCGUAGAUAUUAGGAAGAACACCAGUGGCGAAGGCAGUCUGCUGGACAGCAACUGACGCUGAGGCGCGAAAGCGUGGGGAGCAAACAGGAUUAGAUACCCCGGUAGUC
rnacentral:rRNA from 1 species